rnacentral:rRNA from 1 species
CACGUAGGGUGCGAGCGUUGUCCGGAAUUAUUGGGGCGUAAAGAGCUCGUAGGCGGUGUGUCGCGUCGGCCGUGAAAACCUGCAGCUUAACUGUGGGCUUGCGGUCGAUACGGGCAUCACUGGAGUUCGGCAGGGGAGACUGGAAUUCCUGGUGUAGCGGUGAAAUGCGCAGAUAUCAGGGAGGGAACACCGGUGGGCGAAGGC